rnacentral:tRNA from 1 species
AGCCCUGUAGUGUAGUGGUCAAGCAUGCAAAUUUAAGCAUAAGGCCCUGGACCUUGCGACUCAGGUUCGAAUCCUGACAGGGCUA